rnacentral:rRNA from 1 species
GACAGAGGGUGCAAACGUUGUUCGGAAUUACUGGGCGUAAAGCGAGUGUAGGCGGUCUCCUAAGUCGGGUGUGAAAGCCCCGGGCUCAACCCGGGAAGUGCACUCGAAACUGCAGAGCUAGAGUCCUGGAGAGGAAGGUGGAAUGCUUGGUGUAGAGGUGAAAUUCGUAGAUAUCAAGCGGAACACCGGUGGCGAAGGCGGCCUUCUGGACAGUGACUGACGCUGAGACGCGAAAGCGUGGGGAGCAAACAGG